UCUACCUAGUAGUAUGGAAUAAUUGUUGGAAACGGCAACUAAUACCGUAUACGCCCUACGGGGGAAAAAUUUAUUGCUAUUGGAUGAGCCUAUAUUAGAUUAGCUAGUUGGUGGAGUAAUAGCCUACCAAGGCAAUGAUCUAUAGCUGAUCUGAGAGGAUGAUCAGCCACACUGGAACUGAGAUACGGUCCAGACUCCUACGGGAGGCAGCAGUGGGGAAUAUUGGACAAUGGGCGAAAGCCUGAUCCAGCCAUGCCGCAUGAGUGAAGAAGGCCUUUGGGUUGUAAAGCUCUUUUAGUGAGGAAGAUAAUGACGGUACUCACAGAAGAAGUCCUGGCUAACUCCGUGCCAGCAGCCGCGGUAAUACGGAGAGGGCUAGCGUUAUUCGGAAUUAUUGGGCGUAAAGGGCGCGUAGGCUGGUUAAUAAGUUAAAAGUGAAAUCCCGAGGCUUAACCUUGGAAUUGCUUUUAAAACUAUUAAUCUAGAGAUUGAAAGAGGAUAGAGGAAUUCCUGAUGUAGAGGUAAAAUUCGUAAAUAUUAGGAGGAACACCAGUGGCGAAGGCGUCUAUCUGGUUCAAAUCUGACGCUGAAGCGCGAAGGCGUGGGGAGCAAACAGGAUUAGAUACCCUGGUAGUCCACGCUGUAAACGAUGAAUGUUAAAUAUGGGAAGUUUACUUUCUGUAUUACAGCUAACGCGUUAAACAUUCCGCCUGGGGACUACGGUCGCAAGAUUAAAACUCAAAGGAAUUGACGGGGACCCGCACAAGCGGUGGAGCAUGUGGUUUAAUUCGAUGCAACG
rnacentral:rRNA from 1 species